AAUUUGGGUCACCAAAUACCACCUUGCUUCGAAAUCUUCCCUCUCUCAACCAGUCCUUCUGCAGCUC
rnacentral:lncRNA from 1 species